UACGUAGGGUGCAAGCGUUGUCCGGAAUUAUUGGGCGUAAAGGGCUCGUAGGCGGUCCAUCGCGUCGGGAGUGAAAAGCUGGGGCUCAACCCCAGUCCUGCUUUCGAUACGGGUGGACUAGAGGUAUGCAGGGGAGAACGGAAUUCCUGGUGUAGCGGUGAAAUGCGCAGAUAUCAGGAGGAACACCGGUGGCGAAGGCGGUUCUCUGGGAAUGACCUGACGCUGAGGAGCGAAAGUGUGGGGAGCGAACAGG
rnacentral:rRNA from 1 species